GAUGCAGAUACUUGUGUCUUGAACCCUAUCCGGAGGAGAAUUUGGAGUUUCUUAAAUCACAGAAUAUUCGUCUAUUUCAAUUUGGAAUUGAGGGGAAAACGGAAGUUUCUUUACCUAUUCUCAGUGAUUCUAUUAUGGAGGCUUUGAAAAUUUUACUUGAUGUGAGAAAUCACCCUGUUUUGAUUCAUUGCAAACGAGGAAAG